GUAAGACUGUCAGAUGCUGUAGGAGGGGGGAACAAGCCCUGAAGGAGGGGUAGGGUCAACAGUAAGAUCCCCAAGAGAUGGCUCAGAAUCCCUGGCUGAGGAAGACAGUGGGAGACUCCUGUCAGUAAGUCCAGGAAGAAGGUUGGUGUCUGCCCCUAGAGGGGAGAGGCCUACAGUCUGAGCUGGUUCCUGGGAAGGGACUAGGAAGAGGAAAAGGGUGCUGGUGAAGAGAAGGAGAGACCCUGAAAAGAGACUAGCGCUCUAAGGAGGAGUAACAGAACAAGAGACUGAACCCCAGUGUGGGCAAGGGCCCAGCAGGACUUGUCUGAAGAAAGUAUGUUUCACUUUCUCUUUCUAUGAAGGCACCUUUUCCAAUGCAUCACUAAAGGAGCUUUGCCUGCCAGAAUGUACCAGCCUCAAUCUGAUCACAUUCAGAGUAUUGCUGGUGAACCAGUUAUUCCCAAUUUUGUAUUUGUACACGGGAAAUAUCACCUCUGGAGUGUACCGAUAUAUCAGCAAAGCGUGCAGAAGCUCAAUGUCAAGUCAGAUGAUUAAAGCAGACUCCACACAAGAAUGGCACUGCAUGAACGUGGAAGGUUCUCACUAAUCUCUCUAGGUCACUCUGCAUUUUGGUUCUGUCUUCCUGUGUGUUUGCUAUCCUGUCACUGUCUGAAAGUUUGAUCAACAGUUGAAUUUACACCAAAAAGACACCCCACACAGAAAAACAGGCGAUGAAGCAGGGAUGGCUUGAGUUCAGCUGGUCAAACAACCCAAAACAGCAUCUGGAAACCUGAAGAGAAUCUUUAACUGAGCUCCAACUAGCUGCAAAAGUCACAGCUUGAAGACUGACAGAUGCUUCACCAUUGUGACAGGAGCAGCUCAGCCAAUUACAGCUUGAGACCCACUGUGGUCACUGAAAUUGUUUGCCUGGGAUAUUUGAGCUAACCACCUGCAUGCCUAUGCACGAUGUAGAUCUUGCCUGUCUGUAUACUGCUGUAGCACUAAGGAUUAGAGGCGGACUCAAAGCAAACACGUGGAUCUAAGCAUGCCUGAAGCUGAAGGCGAGCUGUGGAGUUCAGGUCUGGGUCUAUCUUAUAACCGGAUGAUCCAAACACUCUCAAACUUUGGGGAAGUGGAUGCCAAUCUGAACAUUGUGGUCUUCUGUAAUAAUGGAUUUUUUUUUUAAGGCAUGUCCCUAGGUGUGCGCAUGGCAAUGCUGAAAAGAGGUUGAAAAGUGUGCUACCGUGUUGAUCACAGCCACAUCCUGCUGUCAGCUCCUGAAACCAAGGCAGACCUGUGUGUUUGUUUGAGUGAAACAACCAUCAGUAUUUAACCAUCGUAUUUAACAAGAAAAAAGGGGAACAGCCUGUGUGGGAGCAAAUGACGCUCUGAAGUGUGUGCUGCUGUUACAGCUCAGUUUCUGAGGUUUGCUUACCUGAGAUAGAUAGAAUGUGCUUCGGAACCAAUCCUGCUCUCCCUGAAGACAGUGACUAAACUCAGGAGGUCUUAAAUAGGCCCAACCUGAGAGUCUCAAAAGAUUUCUCACUUCCUUCAGUGGAUGAAACCCAAAAUUGUUUUGCCUCAUGAUUCCUGAUGGAGAUGGAGUGAGAGGGAUGGAGAAGAUGAUGUAAAACUUGAGCAAUGCAUAACAUAUUAAUAAACCUGAUGACAGCUCCUAGCUUGUAGAAUGGGGGUAUUUUACUGUAAAUAAGGCCCAGCACUUAACUUUAAGCAUAUUUGUUUAAGUUCCAUUGUCUUCACUCAAACUUCAGCGGAACUUUUAAGCCUUUACUCAGAGUUUGAGCAUGUACUUAUAUGCUUUGAAGAACAGAGCUGGGAUUGCUCAUGUGCUUGAGAGCUGUCCUGAAUCAGGGCCUAAGUUCCUACACAUUGGGUUUGGGAUUUUUUUCCUGUCCUUGUAGAUUCAAAAAUUGAGCACUCAUACAAAAAUAAUCCUACCAUUUUGCUACUAUGUAAUCUACCUGGUUAAUACCACAACGCCCUUGUGUUUGGCUUACCCCGCCCCCCAAGACAUGACUUUCAACUGACUAUGAACACACCUCCUAGAACUAAUCACUUCUAC